rnacentral:rRNA from 1 species
AGGGGCGUACGGGUGAGUAACACUUGGGUAAUCUACCUUUUAUGGGGGAAUAACCCUGGGAAACCGGGGCUAAUACCGCAUAAUCCUGUGAAGGGAAAGCAGCAAUGAUCUGAAAGAGGAGCCCGCGGCCGAUUAGCUAGUUGGUGAGGUAACGGCCCACCAAGGCGACGAUCGGUAGCCGGCCUGAGAGGGCACACGGCCACACUGGCACUGAAACCCGGGCCACACUCCUACGGGAGGCACCCCUGGGGAAUCUUGCACAGUGGAAGAAACUCUGAUGCAGCAACCCCUCGUGAGCCAUGAACCCCCUCGGGAUGAAAACCUUUUUCGGCAGGAACCAUUAUGACGGUACCUGAAAAAAAAGCUGCGGCUAACUACGUGCCAGCAGCCGCGGUAAUACGUACGCAGCGAGCGUUGUUCGGAAUUACUGGGCGUAAAGAGUGUGUAGGCGGUGCUCUAAGUUUGGUGUGAAAUCUCCCGGCUCAACUGGGAGGGUGCGCCGAA